CCCCACUACACAAAAACAGGGCCCGGCUAAUACCUUCCUGAAAGCCUAGAUUAAGUAAAUCGCUCCCCACAUCCGACAAAUGUACACCAUCUCUUCUGAAGUAACCGGGUGUCGUACUACGACGCCGCCCAAACGCCUAAUAAAAACCGCCAUGGUCUUAUUGACCUUACCCCUGCAUCGGGCCACUGCAACUGGAUCCCUGGCGUGCCGCCACGUAAAACGGGGCACCAUUUCAGACCAUACCACCACCACGCCAGGAACCAGCCCCAGGAGUCGAUCCAUGUCCCUCUUCAUUCUUCUUACUAGUUCUCUUUGGGGGAUAAGCCCUAAGUCGUUCCCCCCGCUGUGAACCGCUACCAUGUCCGGUACUGACCCCCCC